CCAGACUCCUACGGGAGGCAGCAGUGGGGAAUAUUGGACAAUGGGCGCAAGCCUGAUCCAGCCAUGCCGCGUGUGUGAAGAAGGCCUUCGGGUUGUAAAGCACUUUCAGCGAGGAGGAAGGCUGUAUGGCUAAUACCCAUACAGAUUGACGUUACUCGCAGAAGAAGGACCGGCUAACUCCGUGCCAGCAGCCGCGGUAAUACGGAGGGUCCGAGCGUUAAUCGGAAUUACUGGGCGUAAAGCGCGCGUAGGCGGCUUGUUAAGUCGGAUGUGAAAGCCCCGGGCUCAACCUGGGAACUGCAUUCGAUACUGACAAGCUAGAGUACAGCAGAGGGGUGUGGAAUUUCAGGUGUAGCGGUGAAAUGCGUAGAGAUCUGAAGGAACAUCAGUGGCGAAGGCGACACUCUGGGCUGAUACUGACGCUGAGGUGCGAAAGCGUGGGUAGCAAACAGGAUUAGAUACCCUGGUAGUCCACGCCGUAAACGAUGUCUAUUAGCCGCUGGGUCCAAUUAGUGACUUAGUGGCGCAGCUAACGCGAUAAAUAGACCGCCUGGGGAGUACGGUCGCAAGAUUAAAACUCAAAUGAAUUGACGGGGGCCCGCACAAGCGGUGGAGCAUGUGGUUUAAUUCGAAGCAACGCGAAGAACCUUACCUACUCUUGACAUCCAGAGAACUUUCCAGAGAUGGAUUGGUGCCUUCGGGAACUCUGAGACAGGUGCUGCAUGGCUGUCGUCAGCUCGUGUUGUGAAAUGUUGGGUUAAGUCCCGUAACGAGCGCAACCCUUAUCCUUAGUUACCAGCGAGUUAUGUCGGGGACUCUAGGGAAACUGCCGGUGACAAACCGGAGGAAGGUGGGGACGACGUCAAGUCAUCAUGGCCCUUACGAGUAGGGCUACACACGUGCUACAAUGGGGCGUACAAACGGUUGCGAACCCGCGAGGGGGAGCUAAUCUGAGAAAGCGUCUCGUAGUCCGGAUUGGAGUCUGCAACUCGACUCCAUGAAGUCGGAAUCGCUAGUAAUCGUGGAUCAGAAUGCCACGGUGAAUACGUUCCCGGGCCUUGUACACACCGCCCGUCACACCAUGGGAGUUGUUUGCACCAGAAGUAGCUAGCUUAACCUUCGGGAGGGCGGUUACCACGGUGUGGAUAAUGACUGGGGUGAAGUCGUAACAAGGUAGCCGUAGGGGAACCUGCGGCUG
rnacentral:rRNA from 1 species